CUUCUGGUUUAAUGCACCUGGCCCGCGGCCCACAAGGCCUGUGAGUGCCGGCGCGCGUUUACCAUCCUUCCAGCAACGGCUACCCUGAACUGGGCGGCUGGAACUGGAUCUUUUACUUUGAAAAAAUUAGAGUGUUUAAAGCAUUUUGUUGGUUUCUAUAUGAAGUAAUGAUUGAUAGGGAUAGUUGGGGGUGCUAGUAUUGGCCGGUCAGAGGUGAAAUUCUUGGAUUCGGUCAAGACUAACUUAUGCGAAAGCAUU
rnacentral:rRNA from 1 species